UUUCAAGGAAGAGGACCCGUCAACAGAGGGCUUAAAGUCCCCUCCGGACGCCUGUGUGGAGUUUCGGUGCUGUCUAAAAUUCUAUUUACAAAGAGCUCUCGAAAUGACUUCAUAAUGGGAGACCAAGACGAAAAGAGUUUAGAAGUGAAUGAUGUAAAGCACAUGGGUUCAGAGGCCAAGCAAACUGCACACCCUCGCCCUGAAGCCGCCGGCUUCAUGAAAGGAGCCUUUCUGCGGCCCCGGGGCAACCCCGGCCCAGGGAGCCAGCAUCCCAGAGUUUUCUAAACAUUUCAGGUAGCUCCUGUUCGGCGUCUCCUUACUCGGCACCCCUUUGUCUCACUUUCUGCAGCCCACGGAGAAGACGGCCGUCUACACCUCGACACAGAGGAAAACCCACUCUCGUUCAUGCUCACCUUUGACGUGGUGUUUCCGGUAUUGUUAUGUCAAUGUGUUCCUGGCUUCAGCGUAGAACGGAGACGUUACAGUCACCCCUGAUCCCGGGCCGUGCGCUCGACCCUCCUCCGGCACUGAGCUGCACUGCGCACUGGAAACCCAGCAGGCGUGGCUCUGUGUCCAUUACCGUGGUGACGGCCGGCUGUUCUAACAGGAGGGCAGUCAUCACGCACACGGGUGACCCUUACUGCCGCCGCCUCUAGAACCGUGGAGAACUAGACAUGGCCGUUACGUAGUCCUCGGGCGUCUGCGGCCUGCCCUGGUCCCCACAGCGUAGACCGACAGGCUGGGUUUAAGGAUGUCAAACUACAACUUUUCCCUUUUUUCUAGAAACAUUCCAAGUAUUAUUAAACACGGCGUCUG